rnacentral:tRNA from 1 species
GGAGAGGUGGAUGAGCGGUUUAAGUCACACGCCUGGAAAGCGUGCGGGGGCUAAUAACCCCCCUCGGGUUCGAAUCCCGAUCUCUCCGCCA